UACGGAGGGUGCGAGCGUUGUCCGGAAUCACUGGGCGUAAAGGGCGCGUAGGCGGCCUGAUAAGUAGGGGGUGAAAUCCUGCGGCUUAACCGCAGGGCUGCCUUCUAAACUGUCAGGCUUGAGCACAGUAGAGGCAGGUGGAAUUCCCGGUGUAGCGGUGGAAUGCGUAGAGAUCGGGAAGAACAUCAGUGGCGAAGGCGGCCUGCUGGGCUGUUGCUGACGCUGAUGCGCGAAAGCGUGGGGAGCGAUCCGG
rnacentral:rRNA from 1 species